GGCGGCGUGCCUAACACAUGCAAGUCGUACGAGAAAGUCGGCUUCGGCUGAUGAGUAAAGUGGCGCACGGGUGAGUAACGCGUGGAUAAUCUGCCCUUGAGUGUGGAAUAACGUACCGAAAGGUGCGCUAAUACCGCAUAAUGCCUGGCAACACAAGUUGUCCGGCCAAAGAAGGCCUCUGUUUACAAGCUUUUGCUCAAGGAUGAGUCCGCGUACCAUUAGCUAGUUGGUGGGGUAACGGCCUACCAAGGCUACGAUGGUUAGCUGGUCUGAGAGGAUGAUCUGCCACACUGGAACUGAGACACGGUCCAGACUCCUACGGGAGGCAGCAGUGAGGAAUAUUGCGCAAUGGGGGCAACCCUGACGCAGCAACGCCGCGUGAGUGAGGAAGGUUUUCGGACUGUAAAGCUCUGUCGAGCGGGAAGAAAUGUACCAUGGCUAAUAUCCAUGAUAUUUGACGGUACCGCUAGAGGAAGCACCGGCUAACUCCGUG
rnacentral:rRNA from 1 species